UGUUCUGUGGCUUAGUUGGUUAAAGCGCCGGUCUAGCGAAUACGGAGUCGUGGGUUCGAAUCCCACCAGAACAC
rfam:Aedes albopictus isolate Foshan contig143884, whole genome shotgun sequence.